AAAUGCGAUAAGUAAUGUGAAUUGCAGAAUUCAGUGAAUCAUCGAAUCUUUGAACGCACCUUGCGCUCCUUGGUAUUCCUUGGAGCAUGCCUGUUUGAGUAUCAUGAAAUCUUCAAAGUAAAUCUUUUGUUAACUCAAUUGGUUUCUACUUUGGUAUUGGAGGUCUUUGCAGCUUCACACCUGCUCCUCUUUGUUCAUUAGCUGGAUCUCAGUGUUAUGCUUGGUUCCACUCGGCGUGAUAAGUUAUCUAUCGCUGAGGACACUGUAAAAGGUGGCCAAGGUAAAUGCAGAUGAACCGCUUCUAAUAGUCCAUUGACUUGGACAAUACUUUUAUGAUCUGAUCUCAAAUCAGGUAGGCCUACCCGCUGAACUUAAGC
rnacentral:misc_RNA from 1 species